CGGGGCUGGAGCGAUGGAUCCAGGGCAGGCAAGUGCCGCGGAACCGGGGGCGGGAUGUUCCGACAGUUCAGUCCGGGCUCGGUGCGGAGCUGGGCGGCCCCGCCCGGUGCACGUGUGAGCAGGGACAGGGACGCCGCCUGUUUGCGCCUUCCCCGCUGCAGCGUGCCAAGAAACAAGCCUGCUCCGGCCUCCACCUGACGCUAAGCCCAGCCCGGGGAGCUCGCGCAUUAAGCCUCACCUCUCCCCCGCGGAUCUGUCUGUCUGAUGAUGCAUGCAGCCCAUAAACUUCAGUGCACCGGCUCUCCGUACUUUCCAGUAAAGGCCUGCCAAGUGGAGGGAUGUGAAAGGAGAUAACUCUACAGGGUGUCAGGCAAUGAAUUUGCUUCCAGCAGCACGAAUAAUCAUCCAUGAUGGAGCCUGUGUUAGAUCUCUGUCUGCACUGCAACACAGGGAAAUGUAAAUGAAAUCCGCCCGUUUAGAUGUCUUUAAUGUGAAGCUGCCACCUGGGAUUGUACUGAGAGUCUUUUGACCAAAUUCAGCAAGGGGGAUAGGGUACACCACUAAAGACAUAACAGGGAGCACAGAAUCUGCUCUUCAUUUAAAUGCCUCCUACAUGCUCAUUACUUGUGUGAUACUCAUAAAGAGUCAGUCAAUCAUUUCAGUGCCUAGAAUUGCAUUCUUAAUGAUGAAUCUCCCUAAUUAAUCCCUUCUCUGAGCUUUGCAGUGAGCCCUGUGCCGUGUCUGUCUUGUUUAAGUUGUACGUGCUGCCUCAGGAUCAAGGCCAUCUUCAUUCUGGGGGAAAAUUUCAAAAGCACCUAAGGGCCACAGGAGCACAAAUGCUACUAGAAAUCAAUGGGGCUCGUGCUCCCAAAUCCCAGGGUUGGAGCACCCACAGAGAAAAAUUAGUGGGUGUAUAGCACCCAUCAGCAGCCAAGCUCCCCUUCCUCCUCCCACUCCUGCCCGCUGCUGGCCCCCACCGAUCAAUUCCUCCUCCUUCCUCCCAGUGCCUCCUGCACGCCAUGGAGGCUAUAUGUCUUGGAGGGCUAACCCAGACCAAGCACUGGGGAUCUUUUGCUUAUUCUUAAUAAUCCUUGCUCCUCACAGUCCAAGCAGCAUAAAGAUAGAGUUUCUUCUUGUCAGGGAUUUUUAUUCCCUUCCCCCAGAGUUCAAGCUGAUGGGACGAGUCCACAUGCAUGUCCCCAAUUCAUGGGGGGUGGUGGUGGUGGUGGUGGUGAGACCAAUCAACAAAGUCUUUUUUUCUCUGAUGUUCCACAAUGGUUUGACUGGUGUCUAUGGGCCUUUUGCUGGGCAGGAGAGAAGGCCUCCUGUAGCAAACCAGUAUUUCGCAGUUGGUAAUGCUUCUCUGCUGACUGGUGAUUUAUAGUUAUGGAUCAACCACUUGAAUAUUACCUUAAACCAUGGGACACAGCUAUUGCAAGGGACACGAUUGCUGGCAGCAACUUACAAGUGUUUCAUACAGUCUAAACACAUUUUUAUAACCCUAAUACCUAUUUAAAACAAUCCUGACACACAGGGGAGGCAGACUGGUUCCCAGCUGUGCAUUUGUCAGUGUUUAGUGAGACGUAGGGGCCUUGGCAUGAGCUGGUCUGCCAACAUCCCAGUUAUUAUAAGACAGUAUAGAGUGAAACUAUGCAUAUGUUUGGGGAGCACCAGAAAGUGGUUCAGAGGAGAAGAGCCAAGGAAUCAUGGAGGAUGCAGUGGAGUGACUGGAAGGGCCAAAGGAGGCAUGGGAAACUUGAAGACCGAUUAUUGAUUUGUUUAUAGCAGCACCCACAAUGUCCCAAGUGUUUCCCAGCCAUUUGAGGGGGGAGUGGUACCAGCUCCACGAGGCUCACAGUAUAAGGACAGACAGAGGUGAGGAGAAAGAGAACAACAGAGGGCUUCUAUAAACCCCCGUAUCUCCAUUCACUAUGAGCCGCAUAGUGGAAGUGGGUCUUUGAGACAGGGUGGGAGCGGGGCCUCGCAGAGGAACUGAGGAAGCAGAUUGGUGGAGCUAAGGGGGGGGGCGGAUGGGUCAACGCAGAGCUUGACACGGGAGGAUAAGUGGGGAGGGGCAGAGUUACGCAGAGCUUUGAGAAUGGCGAGCAGCAGGUUACAGGUGAUGUGGUGGCAGAUGGGGAGCCAGCAGAGGACUGAAA